rnacentral:rRNA from 1 species
UGCCACAGCCAUAUCACCCUGCAGCCCAAGACUGGUUGCCCACUGAAGCUAAGCAGGGUUGAGCCUGGUCAGUGAUGGUCAUUCUGUCAA